ACGGGAGGCAGCAGUGGGGAAUAUUGCGCAAUGGGGGAAACCCUGACGCAGCGACGCCGCGUGAGUGAAGAAGUAUUUCGGUAUGUAAAGCUCUAUCAGCAAGGAAGAUAAUGACGGUACUUGACUAAGAAGCCCCGGCUAACUACGUGCCAGCAGCCGCGGUAAUACGUAGGGGGCAAGCGUUAUCCGGAUUUACUGGGUGUAAAGGGAGCGUAGACGGUUCGGCAAGUCUGAUGUGAAAGCCCGGGGCUCAACCCCGGGACUGCAUUGGAAACUGUCGAACUAGAGUGCAGGAGAGGUAAGUGGAAUUCCUAGUGUAGCGGUGAAAUGCGUAGAUAUUAGGAGGAACACCAGUGGCGAAGGCGGCUUACUGGACGAUAACUGACGUUGAGGCUCGAAAGCGUGGGGAGCAAACAGGAUUAGAUACCCUGGUA
rnacentral:rRNA from 1 species